GUGGGGAAUAUUGGACAAUGGGCGAAAGCCUGAUCCAGCCAUGCCGCGUGUGUGAAGAAGGUCUUCGGAUUGUAAAGCACUUUAAGUUGGGAGGAAGGGCAGUAAGUUAAUACCUUGCUGUUUUGACGUUACCAACAGAAUAAGCACCGGCUAACUUCGUGCCAGCAGCCGCGGUAAUACGAAGGGUGCAAGCGUUAAUCGGAAUUACUGGGCGUAAAGCGCGCGUAGGUGGUUCAGCAAGUUGGAGGUGAAAUCCCCGGGCUCAACCUGGGAACUGCCUCCAAAACUACUGAGCUAGAGUACGGUAGAGGGUAGUGGAAUUUCCUGUGUAGCGGUGAAAUGCGUAGAUAUAGGAAGGAACACCAGUGGCGAAGGCGACUACCUGGACUGAUACUGACACUGAGGUGCGAAAGCGUGGGGAGCAAACAGGAUUAGAUACCCGUGUAGUCC
rnacentral:rRNA from 1 species